AGUGAACGCUGGCGGUAGGCCUAACACUUGCAAGUCGAACGGCAGCACAGUAAGAGCUUGCUCUUACGGGUGGCGAGUGGCGGACGGGUGAGGAAUACAUCGGAAUCUACUUUUUCGUGGGGGAUAACGUAGGGAAACUUACGCUAAUACCGCAUACGACCUACGGGUGAAAGCAGGGGAUCUUCGGACCUUGCGCGAUCGAAUGAGCCGAUGUCGGAUUAGCUAGUUGGCGGGGUAAAGGCCCACCAAGGCGACGAUCCGUAGCUGGUCUGAGAGGAUGAUCAGCCACACUGGAACUGAGACACGGUCCAGACUCCUACGGGAGGCAGCAGUGGGGAAUAUUGGACAAUGGGCGCAAGCCUGAUCCAGCCAUACCGCGUGGGUGAAGAAGGCCUUCGGGUUGUAAAGCCCUUUUGUUGGGAAAGAAAAGCAGCAGGUUAAUACCCCGCUGUUCUGACGGUACCCAAAGAAUAAGCACCGGCUAACUUCGUG
rnacentral:rRNA from 1 species